GCACCCGUGGUCUAGUGGUUAGCGCUGCCGUUUUGGAAAUUUUCAUCACGGGUUCGAAUCCCAUCGGGGUCA